CGCAGCUUUGUCAAAUUCAGUGCUCCCUCUGUGGGUCGCACUGGCCAAAAUGGCUGCCACACUAACUCUGUGGUUUAUGGGCCCCACGCUUCUGAACCGUGAGCCGUGGGGAUAAAUUUGUUCCACAGACAAUU
rnacentral:snoRNA from 1 species